CCCUCCCCACUGCGCCCCACUCUUUCCACAACGGGCAACCUUACAGUCCAGCCUUCUGGUCAGCGACAAGGGGUGCUGCAUGCCUGUGGGACCAGCUGUGGUGUCUGCCCUUUUCUCUAGCAGUACUUAGAUCUAAAGUGGUCUGCUCUGGGUUCCUUGGAAUUAAGCACUGUCUUUGCUUCUCCCACCUCCCCAAAGUGGUUUUUUUUACAAAGUUUGAUUACAAAGGUUUUUUGUUGUUGUUUCAUUUUUGUUUUGUUUUGUUUUGUUGUUUUUUUUUUAACAAGGUUUGAUUUACAAAGUACCAGUUCAGAGCUAGGUUUCCUGAAGCAAGGACUGAAGGGCAAGACUGGCUGGUUUUCUUGCUCUGUUCCCUCUAGGGCAGGUUUAGGGAAAGGAGAACACAGUACCUGAAAAGGAGACUAUGUUCCCAUCCUAGAACUAAACGGACAGGAUUGAGGACUAAUUUAGAACACGUUUAAACCCAGCAUUCAGGAGGCAGGCCGAUCUCAUGAGUUCAAGGCCAGCCUGGUCUAUAGAGCAAGUUCCAGGACAGCCAAGGCUAUACAGAGAACACCUCACCCCACCACCCCCAAAAAAUAAAACAAAAGAAGAAUUUAGGAUCAUUAGCCUGUAUUGUAGAGGUAAAUCAGGUGGCUGCUGAAGUUUAUAAGUAACUUUAUCUUUAAGUCUCUAGUUUGCCUUUUCCUGAGGAACCAGUAAAAGCUUUUGGAGUUCAGUAUGAUCAGCCGACUUCAAUCUGUAAACAUUCUGGAGAGAAGCUGAACUAAAUAUAGGCAGCGAGUCUGGACCCUUAGAAAGCCUCUGAGCUGCAGCAGGUUACCAGAAGGACAUGGUAUAGACGAGGGCGGGUCAGGGAGCAGUCCCUGGGGCUGUGACACAGGAAGGUCGGUUAGGUGGAGCAGAGGGCUUCAGCCUGCUGUUACAUAUCGCUCCUGCCAUCACCAUCACCAGAGUCAGCUUGGGGAGGACUGAGAGAGAUAAAAGUAGAGACGGAUGAGACCUGGAGAUGGGCAGAGAAUGUAGAAGUCCAAGAUGGGGAAUUGCUGGGGCUGUAAGAGUCACCAGGUAAAGUUCUUGGUUGGGACCAAGAGGGGUCCUUGGAUGGAGGUUAGGACCAAGAGGGGUCCUCUGUGAUGUAGCAAUGGUUAACCUGGUAAUACUUAUUUGAAUAUAUACUUUUAUAUUUGAAAAUUACCUGUUAUUUUAUGUUUUUGCCCCAACUUACAGGAUGUGAUUUUAUGUUUCUGGGUCGUUGGAACAGAGUUUACCAUCAGCCCUACACUUUGAGAUGUAUAAUUUACCUGUUGUGAUCAUCCUCCACAUGAGUGUCUCUUACUUACCGUGCCUGUACAGGAAGCCUCGGGGCCAUCCCAGAGCUUUCCGUCCCUGGAACCAGAAGAGCAGGAGGACUUCAGAGUUUCCUCUCCUGCACAGACUACAAUGGGGAGCAGCCGCCACUGCAGACUUGUGACCGUUUCUUCACUGGCACUUUUCGUGGCGCUUUGAGGAGUUCUGUGUGAAAGGCAGUGGCGUCCUUCAUGAGACGAUACUGGGGGCAGACACUCAGAGCGUUAUAGUCGCCCUUGAUGUCAGCUCCUCCAAGACAGACCACCAUGUAUUUGUGCAAAUGAGCCUGGGUGCUGAAAUCACUACAGAAGAGGUUAAAGGCCAGAGGGAAGAGGUCCUGAGCUUUCUCACUGGCGCCACCCGUGUUUGGGCCGCAGGCACUGCCACAGAGAUCGUGGGUGUCGCUGGAAAGAAGGAAGACCACCUUGUCCGCCGCCUGCUUCUGCGCGCUGAGCCACUGCACUGGGCCCAUCUCAGCUAUUCUCUUCCUCUGCCACUUUUCAAGGAUGACCUCGCUCCUGCAGUGGGUCUGAAGAAAGUCGGUGAAGCGGCAGACCGUGUGAAGGAAACACACCUCAGACGGGUAAACCACCAGGACCUUAACGAGGGGCAGGAGCAUGCUGGUGGCAGGGAAGGAAGUCUCCGUGCUCCUGCCUGUGGGGGGAGCUUUGUUAGUUACCAGCAAAUAGCAGGCCUUUACAGUAGUCUAAACCGUCAGUGAGAAAUGUCAGCAAGGGUGGCAAUCUGUUCCUGCCAGAGGAAUAAUAGCCCCCAUAGUCAUUUUGAACACCUGAAACACUGAUUCUUAAAUCUUCACAGCUUUUUAAAAGAUGUGCUUUCUAAGCCCCUAUCACUAAGUCAGCCGCCAGAGACCAGCUCUGUUUUCAGAUCAACUCAGAGCAGCUGUUUAGGCUUGAGGGCACCGGUUUGAAGCCAACUGUUGAAAAUUUCUGUACUUCGACACAGAUGUGACCUCUUACAUGUCAUAUCAGGAGUUGGGUCAACUCUGUGGUCUAUUUUCUACCUGCAGACAGUAGAGUUCCUUUAUUUUGCUGUAAAGUUAAGCCCCACACUGUGCUACGCAACGAGACUUAGGUCCAAAGCUACUAUAGCCCUGUAGCUAACGGCGCCAGCAGCAUCUUCUAAGUGCAGGGAUUCCCGAGAUGAAAUUUCGUUCAUGUGGCUUUCUGAGCUUAAAGCACAGAGUUAAUCUUCUGCCAAGACACAGGAGCAACUCACAGUACACUAAGACCUCCUUUUUGGCUCUUUGAGACAGGUUCUCGCUUAGCUUAAGCUGGCCUUGAACAGUAACCUCUGGGGGCUGUCCUUGAACUCCUGUCCCACUUCCUCCUCCUCCCAAGGGCCUAGACUGCAAGGUUUCUGUCGCCACACCUAGCUAGAUUCCCUUCUCUGUCCAGGCAGGUGGGGAGGAUCUCAGGGUAUCUUCAGAGUGACCGCCCUUACCUUGCCUCCGAGUUAGGUAGAUCCCAACUACCAGCACCCAUGUAGCCACCAGCAGCACCAAGAUGAGGGGCACCCAGCCUCCCAGCAUGCUUCUGUCUGCAGGAAACAGCUUGGUCACCUUUAGCAAGCAAAGCUGCACUUGGCCUCUACUUGCACAUGGAUUUUUUUUUUACUCUUCUUAGUGGGGUCUUAGACCUUUUCUAACCAAGGGCUAGAUGGUCUUUAGGGGGAUGCUGAUUAAGGGUUCUUUCCCAGGAUUCAGGUCUCUUUCAAAAAAUGUAUUACUGUGUACUAGAAAGAUGGCUCGGCCACUAAAGGCUAGGCUCACAACCAACCACUGAAAGUAUAACUGUGGUGGGUGUGAAUGCAGGCACACAAUGCCAGAGUGUGUGUGAAGGUCAGAGGACAACAUGAGGUCAUUUCUUCUGUCCUUUCACGAUGGCUUCCAGGGCUCAGACCCAGGUUGUAAGACCUUCCUAGCAAGAGUGAUCACUGAGUGACCUCACCAGCCCUCUCCUCCCCAGAGUCUCAGCAGGGAAUUAGGGGACUUUCUCCAAACUCAAAUUUCUUUUCACUGUUUCAAAUUUCAUUCAACCAGGGUUUGAAUGAUGACUUUUGUUGUCUGGAGAAUCUUUGUUCCUCAGGAAGAACUUACAAACAUAAUGUACACACAGCAGUGUGCCCACAUAGAAGUCAGGGCCUGCGGGAGUAGCUAUCUAAAGUUUGGCUGGCUGUUUUUUGUCUUUUGUAACCCAUGGGCUAGUUUCAGAACAUCUGUCCAUUGUUAAUAAAAAGAACUGACACAUCUCUAAAUGCAGAGACAUUUUCCAGAACAUGCUCUCCGGCACCAGGAAGGCAUGUUUUGGUGCCAGUAUUCCUGAUUUGUUAACCAAAUAGGAUUCAGAGAGAAUUGGAAUACCCCUCGUGGACUCAGCCCCUGCUCACACCAACCCCUCAUGCCCCUCACACCAGCUCCUGCUCACACUGGCCCCUCACGCUGGCCCCUCAUUCCCAGUAACUCUUUUCAUUGUCUGCGGCACUUCAAACAACCAUCUUGCGCUCUUUAUUCCCCCUUCUGUAUAUUCUGCUUUUGAAAAGAUAUUGUGUUUGUAAUUAGAUCCUUUGUUCUUACUUGCUUAUGAGAUCUCUGGGGUAGCAGAGGUAUUGUUCACGGUACACCGGCAGGGACCUCGUAAUGCCCCUCCAAGACACAGAACAAUCUGUUACAUCUCAAAGGGGCCCUGUGUGUCCUGAGCCUCUCCGAUCAUCCCUCGGUAAUGACUGGUACUUACUGUUGUCUGGCGGGUAGGGGCCACUUGUGUCUAUACAAAGCCCAACCAGUCCUCUGCGUCGGAUGCAGUCAGGCAUACAGGUGUGGAAAUAUGGUAUCAGCUGAGGAAAAGGAGAGGAAGACUACAGUGCUCACACUUCCAGCACAGCCCUUUCCCCUUCUGAAAUGUGAUUUUCACCUCAUGGCAUUGGCAUCAACAGUUUCCCCCUUGUUUCCCCUUCUGUAGCCACAGAUCCAAUCUGGGGACUCCGGACCAAGACACUGGCAAUGCCCCAGCGAUGCCCUUGAACUUUGUUCACUUUAUAGCCACGGAGUUUUCCUUAUCUGAUAGGGCGGCUACAUCCUAAUAAACAUACAAAUCUCUCCCCUGGACCACAGUAGGUAAGUGACCCAGCACUAGGGCAGUCCACGACUUCCCGGAAGGUGCAGGUGCUGUCAUGCCAGGGUCCACUUUCUUGGUCAUCCUGAGCGCUGCAUGUUCGAGGGAGUGGAGAAUGGCUCGCGGGCACCGUCAUGGACUGUGACCCUCUGUGUAUCCAUGUUGUAGACUACAGGGACCUGAGUACCUACCCUUCCAACUUCCUGUUUCCUCCUGGGCCAGCUGAGGCUCCCAGAAGGUGAACAGCUGCUCUCCUAAGUUCAGACACUGACCUGGACACUGGACAGCCUUCCAGCUUCAACCCAUUCGGCUUCACUUCUGAGUUAAAACUGAGGCUUUGGGGAAAUAAAAUGACUGUCCCAUCUCAGAAUUACUCUGAGAAUCCAGGACUGAAAAUAAAAAUAAAAGCCCUUUGGGAAGUCAACAGCCACCCACCCAAGCAAAGGCACCACACCUGUGGCAUCAGCUUUCACUCUUGUAGACGCUAAAGAGUCCCCGACACCCAGCUUGAUGGGGGAUACUGGGGGGAAGCUUGCCAUCCUUAAAAUGCAUGUGGAGGGCUUGUGUGUAUCAAUUGCUGAACACUCACCUAUAAUUCAAGAAGUCCUAGGUUCGACCCCUAGCAUCCCAUGAAGACAUACAGAAAGCAUCCAUGGUGGAGCAAACAGCUCUGUCGUGGCCCUCCCUUUGCAGACCGCUAUUUAACUCACCUCGACCUCGGUACCUUCACUUUCCUCGUUCACCGAAAUGGCCACAGACAUCCGUGUCAGUUUAUUCUGGUGCAGAUAAGUGAGAGACAGUCAGAGCUGUAGUCACGAGUGAGUAGACAGAGAGUGACGAAGCCACUGUUCCUAACUGACUUCUGGUGCGUCAGACUAUGUGAAGAAGGACUCACGUCAGAAGCCUCAAACUUCUGUCUGUAGUUGGCUUUAGACUCAUCAUCCAUAGGAUGCCUACAGGGAUUUGGACCACAGAUAGCUCUGGGAUCUCUUGGAAGAAAACCUAUUCAAAGGAUUCUAAAAUGUCUCUACUUCAAGAUACUGAAGUAUCUGGGGUUGGGAAUGGGGUGGUAAUAAAGGGGUGAAGGGGAAAAUACCUCCUCCACAAGAGACCACCCCAGUUCUCCUUGGUUUUGUAGAAUGUUAACCCUGUAGCUUUCUCCAAGGGAAUUGGCUGUAAAAUUCACUUCAACCGUCGUCUCGUUCUUUUUACAAGCAGUGAUAUUUGGGUCCCACAGGCUUCCUACAAGUUGAGAGAGAACCACAUGGGUGACCCCUCCCUUAUCUGAGUCCCCAAGGGGGCUUUCCAGAAACAAAUCUAAAUCCUAAGAGACAUGGACUCAACUAUAGUAUAUCUUCCGACACUAUUCCCAGAAUUGCAAAGUAUCUGAUUUCUAAGAAAGUUUAGGGACACCCCUCUCAUGCCAUUUGCUUUACUAAAAAUAGCUAGGAAUGGAAGUUACAGAUCAAAGUCUACAACUCAGUUCAAUGUUCACCCUACAUUUUGAGGUAAGAGAGCUAGGACCUCUGUUUCCUCCUUUCUGGGAUAGAGGAGGGACAUCAGUUUAGGAGGAAUGCCCCAGAAUAUGGAGUAAGUGAACUGAGGCUCAGAGCUUACAGACAGGCUGUCAGCAUCACUGGAUACAAGGAAGGAAAUGUCACACAGCUUACAGGAAUCAGUUGUCUCGCUCAUGUGACUUGCAAAUAAGACUGGGCAAAUUUCCAGGAACAUGUCUAUAUAAUAGCACAAGUUGGCUCUCUGCUGAUGGGACCAGUUCGGCCCCUGGCUGGGAGCUGGUUCUUGGAGUGGGUUGGAGGAGGACGCAUUCUAGGUCCUGCAGCUCAUAACCUUAGAGCCUCAAAAUUCUUUGAGAGUGCUCUCUUGGUGGGAAUAAAGAUCCCCUACCCCCAGCCAAUAUCUCUAACUUCAUUAGCAUCACAAGACUAUACUGCCCCAAAGUUUAUACUCACCCAUAGAAAUUGGGAUGAGGCACUGACUUAUCCUAAAGCAACUCCAUCACAGAUCAAAGAAUUUUCUGCGAAUAGGAGGUAGUCUUUUGAGAAGGCCUCCAGGGCCUUACUUGAACCAACACUUGACCAUGUUUGUUAAUCCAAACAGAAGGUACCCAGAGCCUCCACUGACCACAGGUCAGUUGUAAUAAGCAGGUGUAAAGGCUAGUGGGGCUCUCCUCCAAUCACAAAGCACUUUCCAUGAGCAUGCUGUUAAGUGGGGUUUGGGAUAUCCCUUGGGUUUAGCCAAGGGAUAGGGUGGUUUCCUGUAGCAGUUGCUGCUCUAGUAAACCCAAGAGUCUGUCCCAAUCUAGAUAGCUGCUUAACCCAAGGCAGGCCUUCACUGAGUGGCUUAGACAGAGAACUUCCAUCUCCACAUCUUAGUUCCUUUAUCUAUCUGCGGCUGAAUGGAGCUCCAUGGGUCCCAGUUAGGAGGAUCUCUAACUGAGGAAAGCGAAAUGCUACAUCUACUUACCUGCCUCAAUGCACCGCUUUUUAUAUUUCAUUACAUUGUUUAGGCAGCCUGGGAAUUUGAAUGAAAGUUGUUACAUUUGAGUAAAAGGUAUCUCUACUAUAACCCCUUUCCCAGUACACACACACACACACCACAUACACUCUCUUCAGACAUGAGAGAGAAGUCAGGUCUAGAAAUCAUUUUACAGUUAAACAGAAAACCAUUCACCCGUGGAGGCUGUAAGUAAUCUCAUUUUAAGCACAGCCUUUAUCUAAAUGAUCACCGAGAAGUGA